rnacentral:rRNA from 1 species
AUUGAACGCUGGCGGCAUGCUUUACACAUGCAAGUCGAACGGUAACAGGCCUUCGGGUGCUGACGAGUGGCGAACGGGUGAGUAAUGCAUCGGAACGUGCCCAGAGGUGGGGGAUAACGCAGCGAAAGCUGUGCUAAUACCGCAUGUGAUCUGAGGAUGAAAGCGGGGGACCAGGCAGCAAUGUUUGGCCUCGCGCCUUUGGAGCGGCCGAUGUCAGAUUAGGUAGUUGGUGGGGUAAAGGCCUACCAAGCCGACGAUCUGUAGCUGGUCUGAGAGGACGACCAGCCACACUGGGACUGAGACACGGCCCAGACUCCUACGGGAGGCAGCAGUGGGGAAUUUUGGACAAUGGGCGCAAGCCUGAUCCAGCAAUGCCGCGUGCGGGAAGAAGGCCUUCGGGUUGUAAACCGCUUUUGUACGGAACGAAAAGGCUCUGGCUAAUACCUGGGGAUGAUGACGGUACCGUAAGAAUAAGCACCGGCUAACUACGUG